UAAUACACAGACACAUUCCUUGAAUUCUUCUAUUUACAACACUGCGUGAUCGAUCCAAUUACUCCAAUUCACUUUUGGUCUGUGUAGGAUAUUUCACUAUACUUUAAUUUCAGGUAGGAAGAUUAUUAGGGUAGGAGUUUACAAAAAUCUCAAUUAGACGAUGAAAGUCAAGUUUAGCCUUAAAGCUUAGUCCACACUACGGUAUUUGCUUUUAUGAUUAUCGUAAAAUUCACUACCCCGUGAUGUAACUACCAUAAUGAACUAUUGAACCAUAUUGAGCAGAUACAUACUAUCGUUUUAUUGAUCUGUCUUGACGGCAUUUUUACAGAUGUUUUUAUCUAAAUUCACUCUACUAUCUACUAUGUAUAUAUUGUGUUCUAAUAACAAAAUCAUGGGGAUGCUGUAUCUUUUAACGGUUUAACUAUCAUGAUGGUAGUAACUAUCAUCGUCUGGACCAAAGGUUUCUAUUUUAAAGGUAACAACGGGGGAAAUUCGUACGUUGUAUUUUAUUGAAAUAAAUAGCUUUAUAUUAUUAUAAAACUGAACUUAUUAUUUACAAGUGACGUAUGACGCAUAUAAUAGUAUAUUAUAGUAACGAGUAAAAUGCGAUGCGUUCAAACUUCAUUCGAGACAAUUACGAAGCGUUGUCGUCGGCCUUGACAAAUUGAUACAAUAUGACGCAGUCUUCUCGUAUAAUAACAACGGAUGACUUUGUUAGUUUUGUCUCUAAUUCGAGAUAAUAUUACUCUUUUCCGGCUUAACUACGGAUAGGAACGGUUAGAAAUCGCCGAUUUUUCAAUUAAUAUUUAAUAUAUUAUAAGAGCUUUUCAUCCGGAUAACGAAUACUGUUGGCUUUCCCGUUCUUUGACUUUGGUGAAGUAAU